rnacentral:rRNA from 1 species
CACGUAGGGUGCGAGCGUUGUCCGGAAUUAUUGGGCGUAAAGAGCUCGUAGGCGGCCUGUUGCGUCCGCUGUGAAAGCCCGGGGCUUAACCCCGGGUCGGCAGUGGAUAUGGGCAGGCUAGAGGUAGGUAGGGGAGAAUGGAAUUCCCGGUGUAGCGGUGAAAUGCGCAGAUAUCGGGAGGAACACCCGUGGCGAAGGCGGCUCUCUGGGACGGUACUGACGCUGAGACGCGAAAGCGUGGGGAGCGAACAGG